rnacentral:rRNA from 1 species
AUGAUUGCUCGGUUAUGUUGUUCGCUCAUGUCUCCACAUCCAAACGAUCUUUGUUUUCCGGUGGGUUUGGCUACCGAAACGCUGCUCGUCCGGAGUGUAGAGGGAUUGAUCUUGGUUUUUAAAGCAGACAUCGAGUUAGGUAAGCUUGUGGCUUUGGACAACAUCAACAACUAUGCCAUCUUCAUGGGUCAUCAGAGGUGUCUGGCUGUCGAUGCUGAUAAGUUCCCAGGCAUUGAGGCGAACUGCAUCUACUACACUGAACAAUUGGGUUCGUCCGCUCAUAUCUUCAAGUGCAACAACAAGGACAGGAAAGUAGAGAGGAUCUCUGAAGCUGCCGAAAAAAUGGUUGUCGACUUGCUUAAUGACGGCAAGUCGAGCUUGGUUCUUCUUAGUACCAUGAACUGGGUCCAGGGUCAGAACAGGCUUCGGCUCCGCGCCGUGCUAGAGCAGGCGCCCAACGACUACGCCCUACUGCCCCUCCGUCGGCGGCACCUUGGCAGUCCCUUCUCCGGCCCUCCGCACUAUAAGCGGGGCUUCACCUUCUCCUGCCACGGCGGGUGGGUGUUCACCAACGACGAGGCCGGCAACCCGUACCUCCUCAACCCCAUCACCGGCGCCCAGGCUGCGCUCCCGCCGGUCAAGACGACCUACCAGAGCGAUGCCUUCUACGACGAUGACGGGAAACACGUCUAUAAGCCGCGUAAAAAACGUGACGUUCCUUGGAUCAGCUGGGCACGACAUAUGGAGUAUACUCGGGUGGCCAUGUCCACCGCGGCUGACGUGAGGGCGUGCACCAUCGUUAUCGUGCACAUGCCAAUGUUCAAGGCUUCUUUUGCCAGGCCAGGAGACAAGCGCUGGACAUUGCUCCCAGAACUUAAAAAUCAUGUUUAUGACAUUCUUGACAAGGAUGGUUUAUUCUACCUUCUAUAUUUCGAUGGUUCCGUAUGUACUUUGGAUCGUAAUGGGCCUUCACCAAUGGUGACCACGAUCAUGCGCGGCGUGACAGAUCGCUGGGAAGUUGUACAUAACAUGCACCUCGUCCUCAUGCCAUCAGGUGAACUACUGCAGGUCUGGAGGAACUGGGAACACAUGGAUACUCCACUCAAGUAUCACAAGACUUACAAAAAAAUUGUGAACCAUAUAUGCCAUGAUGGAGCAGAUUUGGUUGGCGAAGAUAACAAUGACAAGCUAAAUGAUGAGCUAGAGACAAACCAUGAAGAGGACGAGCUCCCUCAAGUCGGCGCCGAUGACCAAGAUGAGCCCACUGAGGCCGAAAACAAUGAAGACGAAGAUCUUUCUGAAGCCAACUGCAAAGACCACGACAUUGCACUAUCGCAGCUGCUCCGCGAAGGUGUUGACAUGCCUCAUCAACUUGUUGACGAGGUCAACACGAAUGAGGUCCUGGUCUUCAAGGUUGACAUUAAGAGGCAGAAGCUGCUGGACAUUGGAUACCACGCGCUCUUCCUCGGUCUCAACGCUGUCGUAUGCGUUCCGACAAAGGACUUUCCAGUGUUCAAACCAAAUUGCGCCUACCUCACAAACGAGGCUUCCUUGUGCAACCCGAUGUUACAGAAAGAUCUUGGUGGAACAUCAAGAAGAGGAGUAUGCAAAACCUUGGCGAAGCCUGGCCGAAUCUGUCUUCUUGGCUACAUUUACCGGCUCCAAUUUGGAUCACGCCAAGAUUUUAGCUAUUGGUUUAGUCGUUCAAGAGCUACUGCUUUAGGAAGGGGGUAG